UGGGGAAUUUUGGACAAUGGGCGAAAGCCUGAUCCAGCAAUGCCGCGUGUGUGAAGAAGGCCUUCGGGUUGUAAAGCACUUUUGUCCGGAAAGAAAUCCUUGGCUCUAAUACAGUCGGGGGAUGACGGUACCGGAAGAAUAAGCACCGGCUAACUACGUGCCAGCAGCCGCGGUAAUACGUAGGGUGCAAGCGUUAAUCGGAAUUACUGGGCGUAAAGCGUGCGCAGGCGGUUUGCUAAGACCGAUGUGAAAUCCCCGGGCUCAACCUGGGAACUGCAUUGGUGACUGGCAGGCUAGAGUAUGGCAGAGGGGGGUAGAAUUCCACGUGUAGCAGUGAAAUGCGUAGAGAUGUGGAGGAAUACCGAUGGCGAAGGCAGCCCCCUGGGCCAAAUACUGACGCUCAUGCACGAAAGCGUGGGGAGCAAAACAGGAUUAGAUACCCUGGUAGUCCACGCCCUAAAACGAUGUCAACUAGUUGUUGGGGAUUCAUUUCCUUAGUAACGUAGCUAACGCGUGAAGUUGACCGCCUGGGGAGUACGGUCG
rnacentral:rRNA from 1 species